UUUCCGGGGCGACUGAGAAGUUAUUCU
rnacentral:piRNA from 1 species